GGGCUUGUGGCUCAGCGGUAAGGCACUCGCCUAGUAAGUGUGAGGCCCUGGGUUCAAUCCUCAGCACCA
rnacentral:tRNA from 1 species